ACAGGUAGUCAAGAUGAGAAUUCUAAGGUGAGCGAGCGAACUCUCGUUAAGGAACUCGGCAAAAUGACCCCGUAACUUCGGGAGAAGGGGUGCUCUUUAGGGUUAACGCCCAGAAGAGCCGCAGUGAAUAGGCCCAAGCGACUGUUUAUCAAAAACACAGGUCUCUGCUAAACCGUAAGGUGAUGUAUAGGGGCUGACGCCUG
rnacentral:rRNA from 1 species